GAUGAAGAACGCAGCGAAAUACGAUACGUAAUGUGAAUUGCAGAAUUCAGUGAAUCAUCGAAUCUUUGAACGCACAUUGCGCCUGCCAGCACUCUGGCAGGCAUGCCUGUUCGAGCGUCAUUUCAACCAUCAAGCCCUAGGCUUGCGUUGGAGCCCUGCGGCUGCCGCAGGCCCCUAAAAGCAGUGGCGGGCUCGCUAUCACACCGAGUGCAGUAGAUUACUCUUCGCUCAGGGCGUGUGGCGGGUUCCAGCCGUGAAACCCCCUACUUCUCAAGGUUGACCUCGGAUCAGGUAGGAAUACCCGCUGAACUUAAGCAUAUCAAUAAGCGGAGGA
rnacentral:misc_RNA from 1 species